CCUUAACCCCAACUGCUCCAGGGGUGCCGUAUAAAUGGCUGACCCUGCUCUCUGACCCCCAGCUUCUCUCUCUGUCAGUCUCUCAUGGAGAGGGAGUUGGGGUAUGUGGAAAGACAAAUUCCUAAUACAAGAAAUUGGAUAUGGCUAAAAGAGUGAUCUUAUCUUACUGGCAGCUACUGUAUUUUGUACGUUAUCUAGGCUCACCGGCGUCUCCAAAGCUGGAUGCUGGGAGUCUGCAAGCCCCACCAGGAAUAAGCGGCUUUCCGGCAGGGAAUGGGCUUCAGACAAAAUUGAACAGAGCUACGUAAGUUUCCCAACACAAUGCGAAUGCCCGCAGAGCCAGGUGGUUCCAUGAUCUGUGGUGCAGGGAGGUGCCAUUUACUGUACGUUUUCACCUACACAAGGAGACGGUGUGCCACAGCACAUGCCGCCUCAAUCCCAGCUUUACCUGUUGAUGGAGGCUAUGUUCCCCGUCCCGAAGAAGGCGGUGAUGAUGAAGAAGACCUGGACGCACUGCUGAGGAAAACGGUGGCGUAACACAAGCCAGCCAAGCAGCCGCGGCUGGAAGGGUGUAGCCGUGCGCUUCGCCGCCGCAAGAGCCUGCACGGAGAACCAGACGGACUUCUCGCCUCAUCUGGACCUUCACGGCACACGUUAAUACGGCACACGUUAAUACGCCACACCGCGUCCCGAGGUUUUGAAAAAAAAAACAACAGACUAAAAACACCCCCUUGCCAUGGAGAGAUGGGGUGACAGAGAGGGAGAGAAACACAGGAAAGGUUUCGGAUGACAGCCCUGACCCCCAACACGCAUCGAUGUAGUUUAAGAGGAAGGAUUCACGAACAGGUUUGCAGAUUACUGCUCUUGUCCAGUGUGUCCAGGGCAAGCAAAGGAAAAGCUUCUGCGAAUCAGCGCAGGCUGCACAUGACAACG